AACGGCCGUACCGUGCUGAAUAUACCGGUUCUCGUUAGAUCACCGAAGUUUAGCAUCAUUGGGCGCGGUCAGUACUUGGGUGGGUGAUUCACCUGGGAACACUGCGUGCCG
rnacentral:rRNA from 1 species